GAUGAACGCUGGCGGCGUGCCUAAUACAUGCAAGUCGAGCGAACAGACGAGGAGCUUGCUCCUUUGACGUUAGCGGCGGACGGGUGAGUAACACGUGGAUAACCUACCUAUAAGACUGGGAUAACUUCGGGAAACCGGAGCUAAUACCGGAUAACAUGUUGAACCGCAUGGUUCAACAGUGAAAGACGGUCUUGCUGUCACUUAUAGAUGGAUCCGCGCCGCAUUAGCUAGUUGGUAAGGUAACGGCUUACCAAGGCAACGAUGCGUAGCCGACCUGAGAGGGUGAUGGCCCACCCUGGAACUGAAACACGGCCCAGACUCCUACGGGGGGCAGCAGUAGGGAAUCGUCCGAAAUGGGCGAAAGCCUGACGGAGCAACGCCGCGUGAGUGAAGAAGGUCUUCGGAUCGUAAAACUCUUUUAGUAGGGAAAAAAAAAUGUGUAAGUAACUAGGCACGUCUUGGCGGUACCUAAUCAAAAAGCCCCGGCUACCUACG
rnacentral:rRNA from 1 species